rnacentral:rRNA from 1 species
UAUCCAGACUCCUACGGGAGGCAGCAGUGGGGAAUAUUGCACAAUGGGGGAAACCCUGAUGCAGCGACGCCGCGUGAGUGAAGAAGUAUUUCGGUAUGUAAAGCUCUAUCAGCAGGGAAGAAAAUGACGGUACCUGACUAAGAAGCCCCGGCUAACUACGUGCCAGCAGCCGCGGUAAUACGUAGGGGGCAAGCGUUAUCCGGAUUUACUGGGUGUAAAGGGCGUGCAGCCGGGCUGACAAGUCAGAUGUGAAAUCCCGCGGCUCAGCCGCGGAACUGCAUUUGAAACUGUCAGUCUUGAGUACCGGAGAGGUCAUCGGAAUUCCUGGUGUAGCGGUGAAGUGCGUAGAUAUCAGGAGGAACACCGGCGGCGAAGGCGGCCUGCUGGACCGCGACUGACGUUGAGGCUCGAAAGCGUGGGGAGCGAACAGGAUUAGAUACCCCUGUA